rnacentral:rRNA from 1 species
UACGUAGGUGGCAAGCGUUAUCCGGAUUUAUUGGGCGUAAAGAGAACGCAGGCGGUCUUUUAAGUCUGAUGUGAAAGCCUUCGGCUUAACCGGAGUAGUGCAUUGGAAACUGGGAGACUUGAGUGCAGAAGAGGAGAGUGGAACUCCAUGUGUAGCGGUGAGAUGCGUAGAUAUAUGGAAGAACACCAGUGGCGAAAGCGGCUCUCUGGUCUGUAACUGACGCUGAGGUUCGAAAGCGUGGGUAGCAAACAGG